AUAGUAGUAAUGCAAUAGGUAGCAUACUGCAUUUGGGAUGCAGCAGUUAUGGGUUCAAGUCCCAUCUACUAUA
rnacentral:tRNA from 1 species